rnacentral:rRNA from 1 species
UCGGGAAUUUUGUGCAAUGGGCGAAAGCCUGACACAGCAACGCCGCGUGAAGGAUGAAGUCCCUCGGGAUGUAAACUUCGUAAGAAUAGGAAGAAUAAAUGACGGUACUAUUUGUAAGGUCCGGCUAACUACGUGCCAGCAGCCGCGGUAAUACGUAGGGACCAAGCGUUGUUCGGAUUUACUGGGCGUAAAGGGUGCGUAGGCGGCAUAUCAAGUCACUUGUGAAAUCUCCGGGCUUAACUCGGAACUGCCAAGUGAUACUGAUGUGUUAGAGUGCAGAAAGGGCAACUGGAAUUCUUGGUGUAGCGGUGAAAUGCGUAGAUAUCAAGAGGAACACCUGAGGCGAAGGCGAGUUGCUAGGCUGACACUGACGCUGAGGUACGAAAGCUAGGGGAGCGAACGGGAUUAGAUACCCCCGUAGUCCCUGAGCGGGCUGGCAAGGCGCAU